rnacentral:rRNA from 1 species
UACGUAGGGACCAAGCGUUGUUCGGAUUUACUGGGCGUAAAGGGCGCGUAGGCGGCAAUUCAAGUCAUCUGUGAAAUCUCCGGGCUUAACUCGGAACGGUCAGAUGAUACUGCUUUGCUCGAGUGCGGAAGGGGCAAUCGGAAUUCUUGGUGUAGCGGUGAAAUGCGUAGAUAUCAAGAGGAACACCUGAGGUGAAGACGGGUUGCUGGGCCGACACUGACGCUGAAGCGCGAAAGUGUGGGGAGCAAACAGG